CUUCACAGAGAAAUCAACUCAGUCUUCACUAGCUUGGGCAUUCGGGUCUGUUGGAUAUACAUUAAACCCUCAGGGCCGUCCUUGCACCCACGGCCAAAUUUUGUUUUGUGAAAAUGAUGAUGAGGAAAGUGGAACCCAAGGUCAUAGACUAUGCAGAUUAGUAGGAACAUCUGGCUUUUGAGGGGAAAAAUGACAGGCCAGUUCUUUCAUGUAGCAGUACAUUAAGAUCAACCAGCAAAAAGGUUCUUUGUCUGCUCCUGUAUUUCUCUCACUACAUGCUCCAUCAGCAGCCAGCACCUGGUGACUACUCUCCACCACUCCAGUUUGUUACACCUUCAGUUGCACUCUAAAUGCUCUUCAGUAACCAGGAUACACUAGCAUCAUUGGCUUUAAAGAGUGUGACAUAGAAAAGCAUCUGUCCCUUGCUUCCAAUCAUUUAUGUCCCUUUCAGAAGAGAGUUGUAUUAUUGUUGAUCAUCCUGCUGUACAAUACCUCAAAUCUCCACUGGACUGUGCCCCAGAAGAAUCAGCAGUAGAGAAAAGAUCUGGACAUAGUUGGAGAAAGAUCAGAAUCAUAGAGACGUCUGGAAGCAGACAUUUACAUGGUUCAGUUGACAUGUGAAGGAGAGCCGUGUGGAAAUUCUUCACAAAACCAGUACUAUCUCCCCCACAGCUGUGACUUACCCUCUCAUUAUGCUGAAUGUUUCAGUGAGUCACUCGGCAGGUGCAAGAACUUUCCCAGUCCUGAAUUAUAUAAGCACAUAUGUCUCUUCAAAUGCUAAUGGAAGGUGGAGAAAGUCUAGUCCAUGAACUGCUGGCAAUGAAUAGCCAUUUAAGCUCAAAUUAAAGCAACAUUCCUAAUCUUCAGAAAUUUAUUUGGAUACAUAAACCUAAUAUUAAGUGACAUUUGUGUUUUCCAUUUUCUUGAGCAAAUACUUUUGAAUAUGGUUUUAUAGAGUCGUGAUUACAAAGUACUAUAAAUUAUACUCAUAAGUAAAAAGGUUAAAGCUUAAUGUUUAAUCUGUCAACACCUCUUAUAAAUGAGAGAUGUUGUAUGUUAUUUCCUUUGGAAUUAAUUAUUUUUAUUAUCCUGGUCUCUUGUAAAACAGAAUUAAGAUAUUUGA